rnacentral:ncRNA from 1 species
AAAAAAAAUUAUUAUAGUUUAAAAAUUUAUUUUAAGUUUAUUUUACAUAUAAAUUUUAGUGUUAAUUUAAAUUUAUUUUAAAAAUAAAUUUUUAUUUUAAAUAGUAAUUAAUAUUAAAUAUUUAAGAAAUUAAGAUUUAGUAAUAUUUAUAAUUAAUAACAAAUUUUGUGCCAGCAGUUGCGGUUAAACAAAAGUUAAUAUAAAUUUUUUUAGUUAUAAUAAAUGAUGAUUUUUUUUUAAUUUAAAUAUUAGAUUUUUAGGUGAAAUUUUAAUUUACUUUAAAUAUUAAUAAUUUUUCAUGAUUUAAUAAAUUUUAUAAAAAACUAGGAUUAGAUACCCUAUUAUAAAAAUUUAAAUUAUAAAAACUUAAAUAGUAAUUAAUUAUUUAUUGAAAUUUAAAUAAAAUGGCGGUAUUUUAGUUCAUUUAGAGGAAUCUGUUUAAUAAUUGAUAAUCCACGAGUAAAUUUACUUAUUUUAAAAUUUUGUAUAUCGUUGUUAAAAAAAUAUUUAUUUAUAAAAAUAAUAUUUAAGAUUUAAAAUUAGAAAUUAAAUCAAAUCAAGAUGCAGAUUAUAAAUAAGAAUAUAAUGGAUUACAAUAAAUUUAUUUAGAUGGAUUUUAAUUUGAAAAAUUUAAUUAAAAGUGGAUUUAAAUGUAAUUUUAUUUAAAUUGAUAAAAUGGUUUUUAAUUAAAAUAUGUACAUAUUGCCCGUCGCUUUCAUAUGAAAUUAUAAAUUUUUAUAAUAUAAAUUGAAAUAAGUCGUAACAAAGUAGAGGUACUGGAAAGUGUUUCUAGAAAGAA